rnacentral:rRNA from 1 species
UGCAGUCGAACGGCAGCACGGGUGCUUGCACCUGGUGGCGAGUGGCGGACGGGUGAGUAAUACAUCGGAACGUGUCCUGAAGUGGGGGAUAACGCAUCGAAAGAUGUGCUAAUACCGCAUAUACUCUGAGGAGUAAAGUAGGGGAUCGAAAGACCUUAUGCUUUUGGAGCGGCCGAUGUCUGAUUAGCUAGUUGGUGGGGUAAUUGCCUACCAAGGCGACGAUCAGUAGUUGGUCUGAGAGGACGACCAGCCACACUGGGACUGAGACACGGCCCAGACUCCUACGGGAGGCAGCAGUGGGGAAUUUUGGACAAUGGGCGCAAGCCUGAUCCAGCAAUGCCGCGUGAGUGAAGAAGGCCUUCGGGUUGUAAAGCUCUUUCAGUUGAGAAGAAAAGAUUGUAACUAAUAAUUACAGUUCAUGACGGUAUCAACAGAAGAAGCACCGGCUAACUACGUGCCAGCA